GAUGAACGCUGGCGGCGUGCUUAACACAUGCAAGUCGAACGGUGAAGGCGGAGCUUGCUCUGCUGGAUCAGUGGCGAACGGGUGAGUAACACGUGAGCAAUCUGCCCCUGACUCUGGGAUAAGCGCUGGAAACGGCGUCUAAUACUGGAUACGAGCUGCGAAGGCAUCUUCAGCAGCUGGAAAGAACUUCGGUCAGGGAUGAGCUCGCGGCCUAUCAGCUUGUUGGUGAGGUAACGGCUCACCAAGGCGUCGACGGGUAGCCGGCCUGAGAGGGUGACCGGCCACACUGGGACUGAGACACGGCCCAGACUCCUACGGGAGGCAGCAGUGGGGAUUAUUGCACAAUGGGCGAAAGCCUGAUGCAGCAACGCCGCGUGAGGGACGACGGCCUUCGGGUUGUAAACCUCUUUUAGCAGGGAAGAAGCGAAAGUGACGGUACCUGCAGAAAAAGCGCCGGCUAACUACGUG
rnacentral:rRNA from 1 species